rnacentral:tRNA from 1 species
GGGGAUGUGGCUCAAUCAGUAGUGCACUCACCUGGCAUGCGUGCAGCCUGAGUUCGAUCCUCAGCACCACA